rnacentral:tRNA from 1 species
ACCUUUGUGGUGUAGUGGUCAAUACGCUUGACGCUUAUUCAAGAGGUCCGAGGUUCGAAUCCCGGUGAGGGCA